AUAUGUAUGGCUUCAGUGGUACCUUUAAGAGUGAGAAGUGAAAACUUGGAGUAGUAUUGAAAAAAUCCUCGACCAUCUUCAGUUCACUUUUGUCGCCCUAUAAUGUUUAAAUAUUCAAAGGAAUCGUUCCAAGUGAUACAAUCUGUAAUACGGCCUGGUUAUGCUCUCGUAAAUGUAGAAUAAAUAUAUCGUAAAUGUAAAGUGGCAAUUAUGCUCAUUAUAAAACGUAGCAUUUGACAUUAAAAUCGAAAUAAUUUUGUUAACAAACAAUAAUUGAUGGUGAGGGAGGGUCUGACGUCGUAAAACUUCAGGUAUACUUUAAGGGUAGGUCGGAGUAAACGCCCCUCCAUGAAGUGGUGCGACAAAUCGAGACGUCUCUCCUGCUGAAGGAGUACACGAUGGCGGCUUUCCUGAAUAUUGAGAGGUCAGGACGACAGUUUCCGUCCUGAACCGCACGGGGUCCAACUUAGUUUCUCCUUGUGUGAAUGUAUGCUACGUGACAGGGCUAUCAAAGCGAACAUCGGAGAUAAUGUAGUCAGAAGAUAGCUCUAUGAUGGAGACAGGAACUGGAUUGGGCCCAUACUCCGACUCACAAAAUAUCGGUGCUUCGGUGAGACUUCCGGAUGAGCGUAUUUUUUUCGGGCAUAACUCUGUGCCAUAACGUUAUCCGUAAAGGAAAUUUUAGGAAGGGAUUUACAGGCCUCAAGACCGUGGCUUCUAGGACAGUGAGGUCGAAGUUCUUGACGGAGUGUAUGGAAUCCCUGAAUAGAUUACAGUUUCACGACAUAGUGCUAACAUGAAUUAGCGCAUACGACGGUGCUGUAUUGGCGCUUACCCCCUACUCUCUUGUAAUUUCUUUUUAUCACAUAUUUUAAAUUUUUUCAUUUUCUUAUCACCACAGGUCAGGCUGGCCACCGAGUGAACUCACCUUCUCAUGAUGAGCAAUCCUUUCCACCUAAACCUAAACUAUUAACAAUAAAUUGUGAUAAAUUCCACAGAGAAAUCAUAACAUAGGAGAAAAGCUGUUUUAUAAAUUUUUGGUUUUGAAAUUUAUUCAAACUUUAAAAUUUGUCAUCUGAGACGAAAACGGAACGUUAAAUUUUGUUUUUACUGAGUUCUACUUUCCGGUUACGUUCGACUGGCGUUCGGUAAUCAUUUGUUUUCCUAUAUUUACGGUAUGUUAAUGAGAGUAUAACCAGGUCUAUAGUUUAUAGAAUUUAUUGUAGAUUUGGUCCCUUGUCAAAUCAAUAGAAAUAAACCAUACAUUAUGGAAUGAGAAAGUUACCAUUCUUUA